CGUAGGGUGCAGGCGUUAAUCGGAAUUACUGGGCGUAAAGCGCGCGUAGGUGGUUUGUUAAGUUGGAUGUGAAAUCCCCGGGCUCAACCUGGGAACUGCAUUCAAAACUGACAAGCUAGAGUAUGGUAGAGGGUGGUGGAAUUUCCUGUGUAGCGGUGAAAUGCGUAGAUAUAGGAAGGAACACCAGUGGCGAAGGCGACCACCUGGACUGAUACUGACACUGAGGUGCGAAAGCGUGGGGAGCAAACAGG
rnacentral:rRNA from 1 species